rnacentral:tRNA from 1 species
AUCCUUUUCGUCUAAUGGUUAGGACAACAUUUUUUCAUGAUGUUAAUACGAGUUCAAAUCUCGUAAAGGGUA